ACCCUCCAGUAAAAAACCCUAUUUUAGGAAUUAUUUAUGUGACGUCCUAGCUUCCCAGAGGGUCAUCUAUUUUAGGACUACUCUCGUUCUAGCACGCUUAACUCUCUUAGGCUAUGUUUGGUUCAAAGGAUAAAGGAAGAAUAAGGAAUUUAUUCCUCUUAUUCUUCCAAACGGUGUCAAAUAACGCCAAGAACUACUAUUCUCUUCUUAACGGGUUAUUCCGGAAUAACCCGUUAAGAGGGAAGAAUAGUAGUUCCACCUAUUGGGUGGAACAAGUUAUUCUCUACCUUAUUCCUCUACUAAUUAAAUUAUAAAUAAUUAUAAAUUAUAAUUAAUUAAUGCAUUUAAAUUUUUUAAUAAUUGACUAAUUAAUUAUUUAAGUUAUUAAAUUAAUAAAUAUUUAAAUAAUAAUCUAUUUAUAAUUUAUUAUUAUUUAUCUAAUUAAAUAGUUAGCCAUAUAUUCAAUUAUUUACUAAUAUUUAUAUUAUUUAAAUAAUUAGUAUUUUAAUUUAUAUAAUUAAUAUAUUAACUAAAAAAAUAAUUGAUUAAAUAAUUAAUUCUAUUAACAUGUUGACUUAUUUUUUAUAGUUAUUUACUAAUUAAUGUCAUCUUUGUUGUCUCAUAUCGUAAUUUUCAUUAAUUUAUAAUGUAAUUUUGAUUAAUUUAUUUAUUAACUUAUUAAAAUAUUAUUUACUAAUACUUAGGUGUUUAAUAUUUAGAUAAAUUAGUUUUAUUUUCAAUCAUAAUUACUCUUAUCCCUACUAUUCCAACCCAAUCAACCAAACAUAAUUUUUCUUAUUCCUCUAAAUAUCUCGAUUCUCGUCCAAACACAAAAUAAAACUAAUUCUUACCUAUCACAAAAGUUACACCUAUCCUAAGAAUAAACAAAAAUUGGUUGUUUUCGAACCAAACGGUACCUUAAGCUCUUGGGCCUAGCCACCGGCCAAAAUACUUAAGUCAGGUUAAGAGUUUAACCCUAUUAUAUUUCAUAUAUUUAUCUAGGAUCUCAUAAUUUAUUUAUUUAUUUGUUUCUUAAACAAAUC
rnacentral:lncRNA from 1 species